rnacentral:tRNA from 1 species
AGGGAUACAGCUCAGUUGGUAGAGUGCGUGCCUUGCUUGCACAAGGCCCUGGGUUCAAUCCCCAGCACCACUA